AAACCAGCACCUCAAGUGGUCAGGAUGAUUAUUGGGCCUAAAGCAUCCGUAGCCGGCUCAGUAAGUUUUCGGUUAAAUCUGUACGCUCAACGUACAGGCUGCCGGAAAUACUGCAGAGCUAGGGAGUGGGAGAGGUAGACGGUACUCGGGAGGAAGGGGUAAAAUCCUUUGAUCUCUCGAUGACCACCUGUGGCGAAGGCGGUCUACCAGAACACGUCCGACGGUGAGGGAUGAAAGCUGGGGGAGCAAACCGGAUUAGAAACCCGGGUAGUCC
rnacentral:rRNA from 1 species